GUGAAAAGUAAAGUGACUUCUUGGAGAGUGCAGAGCUGGUAAGGAGCAGAUGCAAGAUGUGGAAAAGAGCUCCUCGGAUGUCAGGUGUGCUGGUGUCUCCAUCACCCUCAAUUGCUGCCCCUUUCUGGCCAGCUGCCCCAACCCUCAGACUUUUUGUAACACAACAGAAAUUCAUCUAGGGCCCAGCAGAUGCUUUGCAUCAAAGCCAGGACAAGCCUCUCCUAUCUCGGGUGCUGACUGCAGCUCUUCAGCUGAGCUCUGCUUCCUGGUGCAAACGCAGCUGCGCACACUCCACAUGUUCUUUGAGUGUCUUCUCAUUCUUUCUUCGGACUCACCAAGGGCAGCAGAACAUUUCUUCCAAAUAUGCCAAAACAGUCAUCAUUAAGCAUUCAUUGAGGAGAUGCUAUAUGCAAAUCCCUUGAAUAAAGAGAAGGUCAAGAAAUCCAUGAUAUUCCCAAAGAGUUAUCCAAGGUAACCCUGGAGGAAGAGAACCCACGAAUGAAGAGGGCGUCUAUAGUUCUGGCUGUAUAAAAACCUUUUCCCAUCUUCUGGUAACAGCCUUCCAUCUUCCUUUGAGGAACUACUCCUGCAUUACUCUAGCAGGUCACCAGUUCUUAACCUCCAGUGUCCCAUGAUGUAUAGGAAAGAUGAAGUUCACCAAGAAAGAUAAAGUUCACCAAGAAAGAUGAAGCUCACCUUGAUGUGAAGAAUGAGAUGGGUUAUACAUAAGGUGGAAGUGGAUCAUCAUCUUCAUGUUGAGUAGACUGACGAGGAGGAGGAAUGGGACAACAUUGUCCUGCUCUCUUGGGUGGUAAAGGCAGAAGAAAAUUUGCCUAUAGAAAUCUGGAGUGGAGUUUUACUACCAACUCUUGAUUCCUGCUUUAACACAAG